UUCGGUUUAGGGAGAAGGGUUGAGGCUGCCUCUCUGGGCAUGAGGGGGGCUGGGCCCGGCCAGUCAGAACAGCUUGUGCCCAGGAUUUGGGGCUGGGGAGGAGGCGGAGGGACAGUGGAGUAACCACGAGGACGACCACGAGGAUGCUCUCGGGAAAUCGUCUAACAAACACCCCACCGUGAAGAAAGGACACAAAGGCCGAAGAAGACAUCCCACAGCCCCAGGGUUGCCAGGAAGACCAUGAAGACAUAAAACGCCAGGUUCCAGAGA